UUAGACUAUGUGCAAUGGUGGUGUUGAAUGUAUAUUCAACUGCAUAAUGUGUGUUGAAACCAUUGGAGCAGCCAUGUUGAAUCUGAGCCGGAUGAAAGAGGAGAUGAAUAUAUUCAACUCAGUUGAAACUGACACGGGGGGACAGCUGGCGCGCUUCCAUUUGCCCAGACAGGCGCGUGUGGCACAUGCGCCAACAAACCGCGUGAAGAAGCAUUGGACGCAGAGAGAGAAACUUUGUUUGGAUAAAGCAGGCCACGUGACUGCUGCUGAUUGGUCCGGUGGAUUUUUAUGAUUUUUAUCCUUUGAACUCAAUUAUUU
rnacentral:lncRNA from 1 species